UACGUAGGGGCAAGCGUUGUCCGGAUUUAUUGGGCGUAAAGAGCGUGUAGGCGGCCAGGUAGGUCUGCUGUGAAACUCGAGGCUCAACCUCGAGACGUCGGCGGAAACCAUCUGGCUAGAGUCCGGAAGAGGAGAGUGGAAUUCCUGGUGUAGCGGUGAAAUGCGCAGAUAUCAGGAAGAACACCCGUGGCGGAAGGCGGCUCUCUGGGACGGUACUGACGCUGAGGAGCGAAAGCGUGGGGAGCGAACAGG
rnacentral:rRNA from 1 species